rnacentral:rRNA from 1 species
GCAUGUGGCUUAAUUUGACUCAACGCGGGAAAUCUUACCGGGUCCGGACACACUGAGGAUUGACAGGCAAUAUCUCAUGUUAACGGUAAGUUUACUUACCGCUUAACAUCGAGUGUUAAAUAUGCUAGUCCUUUCAUGAUUAUGUGAUAGGUGGUGCAUGGCCGUUCUUAGUUCGUGGAGUGAUCUGUCUGCUUAAUUGCGUUUCACUAAGGGCCCAUAAAUUCAAGGUAUGUUAGCUCUCGUCGCUCUAUGGACCCCUUAACUCCAAUAUUCUUAUUGUGUUAAGCGCGUGUCUUUAUUUUAAGAGUUUUAAGACACUGCGCAUGCUGUUGGGCUCUGAAAGCAACGAACGUGACCGCAACGUCUUGUUGCCUUAAACUAGCGUAUAUUGCAAUUUAUUGUAAUAUCGCUUACAGAGGCUAUUUAAAACUAGACGGACCGCUGUUUCUUUCUUAAACCAGAGGAAGGUUGCGGCAAUAACAGGUCUGUGAUGC